GAUCCUGGCUCAGGAUGAACGCUGGCGGCGUGCCUAACACAUGCAAGUCGAACGAAGCAAUUUAACGGAAGUUUUCGGACGGAAGUUGAAUUGACUGAGUGGCGGACGGGUGAGUAACGCGUGGGUAACCUGCCUUGUACUGGGGGACGAACAGUUAGAAAUGACUGCUAAUACCGCAUAAGCGCACAGUAGUCGCAUGAUACAGUGUGAAAACUCCGGUGGUACAAGAUGGACCCGCGU
rnacentral:rRNA from 1 species